rnacentral:rRNA from 2 species
UUCGCAAUGCCCGAAAGGGUGACGAAGCGACGCCGCGUGGGUGAGGAAGGCCUUCGGGUUGUAAAGCCCUGUCAGGAGUUAAGAAAUGUAAGUGUGCUAAUAUCGCAUUUACUUGACGAAGGCUCCAAAGGAAGUCACGGCUAACUCUGUGCCAGCAGCCGCGGUAAUACAGAGGUGGCAAGCGUUGUUCGGAAUUAUUGGGCGUAAAGAGCACGUAGGUGGGUUUGUAAGUCAGAUGUGAAAGCCUCCUGUUCAACGGGAGAAUUGCAUCUGAAACUACUGAUCUUGAAUAUAGGAGGGGAGAAUGGAACUUCUGGUGGAGCGGUGAAAUGCGUAGAUAUCAGAAGGAACGCCGGCGGCGAAAGCGAUUCUCUGGCCUAUUACUGACACUCAGUGUGCGAAAGCUAGGGGAGCAAACGGGAUUAGAUACCCCGGUAGUCCUAGCCGUAAACGAUGGGCACUAAGUAGAGGGGUUUU